UCUUCUAAUUAUUUUACCGUUUUUAUUACUUUCUUGUUCCAUUUCAUGUUCUACCAAAUAACCCUUUCUUAUAUAGGUACCGGAGGAUCCAAUUGAAGCCAAUCAUGUGAGCUUUCUGAUCCUCUCCUAGAUCCAUAGAGAUGGUCCAUCCUGAACCAGCAGUGAUAAAGUCCAAUGCAUAUAUGUGGUUGUUUAACAGAAAGGCAGAAAGUAUCUUCGUUGUGGGACAUUGAACGCAUUGCCAUGUCCAGGAUGCACG
rnacentral:lncRNA from 1 species